UACGAAGGGGGCUAGCGUUGCUCGGAAUCACUGGGCGUAAAGGGUGCGUAGGCGGGUCUUUAAGUCAGGGGUGAAAUCCUGGAGCUCAACUCUGGAACUGCCUUUGAAACUAGAGGACUUGGGUACGGGAGAGGUGAGUGGAAUUCCGAGUGUAGAGGUGAAAUUCGUAGAUAUUCGGAAGAACACCAGUGGCGAAGGCGGCUCACUGGCCCGUUACCGACGCUCAGGCGCGACAGCGUGGGGAGCAAACAGG
rnacentral:rRNA from 1 species